GUAGGGUGCGAGCGUUAAUCGGAAUUACUGGGCGUAAAGCGAGCGCAGACGGUUACUUAAGCAGGAUGUGAAAUCCCCGGGCUUAACCUGGGAACGGCGUUCUGAACUGGGUAACUAGAGUAUGUCAGAGGGGGGUAGAAUUCCACGUGUAGCAGUGAAAUGCGUAGAGAUGUGGAGGAAUACCGAUGGCGAAGGCAGCCCCCUGGGAUAAUACUGACGUUCAUGCUCGAAAGCGUGGGUAGCAAAC
rnacentral:rRNA from 1 species